rnacentral:rRNA from 1 species
CAGUCGCCGCGGUAAUACGUAGGUCCCGAGCGUUGCCCGGAUUUAUUGGGCGUAAAGCGAGCGCAGGCGGUUAGAUAAGUCUGAAGUUAAAGGCUGUGGCUUAACCAUAGUACGCUUUGGAAACUGUUUAACUUGAGUGCAAGAGGGGAGAGUGGAAUUCCAUGUGUAGCGGUGAAAUGCGUAGAUAUAUGGAGGAACACCGGUGGCGAAAGCGGCUCUCUGGCUUGUAACUGACGCUGAGGCUCGAAAGCGUGGGGAGCAAACAGGAUUAGAUACCCCUGUAGUCCCUGUCUCUUAUACA